CCUACCAGAGGCUGCAGUGGGGGAUAUUGCACAAUGGGGGAAACCCUGAUGCAGCGACGCCGCGUGAGUGAAGAAGGAUUUCGGUAUGUAAAGCUCUAUCAGCAGGGAAGAAAAUGACAGUACCUGACCAAGAAGCCCCGGCUAACUACGUGCCAGCAGCCGCGGUCAUACGUAGGGGGCAAGCGUUAUCCGGAUUUACUGGGUGGAAAGGGAGCGUAGACGGUUAUGUAGGUCUGGAUGGAAAGCCCGGGGCCGAACCCCGGGACUGCUUUGGACACUGUGUAACUGGAGUACAGGAGGGGCAGGCGGAAUUCCUGGUGUAGCGGUGGAAUGCGUAGAUAUCAGGAAGAACACCGGCGGCGAAGGCGGCCUGCUGGACUGAAACUGACGUUGAGGCUCGAAAGCGUGGGGAGCAAACAGGAUUAGAUACCCCAGUAGUC
rnacentral:rRNA from 1 species